UCUUGAUUGGUCUAGUGGUUAGGAUACCUGCUUGUCAUCGACUCUUGCGAGUGCGCAGGUGGCCGGGGUUCGAUUCCCCGAUCGAGAG